AAAUAAGAAGCAAAACUUGCAUUUAGUUUCGACCUAAAAAUUUUGAUAUAUUUAUCCUUAUUUA
rnacentral:tRNA from 1 species